UACGAAGGGGGCUAGCGUUGUUCGGAAUUACUGGGCGUAAAGCGCACGUAGGCGGAUUGUUAAGUUAGGGGUGAAAUCCCAGGGCUCAACCCUGGAACUGCCUUUAAUACUGGCAAUCUCGAGUCCGAGAGAGGUGAGUGGAAUUCCGAGUGUAGAGGUGAAAUUCGUAGAUAUUCGGAGGAACACCGGUGGCGAAGGCGGCUCACUGGCUCGGUACUGACGCUGAGGUGCGAAAGCGUGGGGAGCAAACAGGG
rnacentral:rRNA from 1 species